rnacentral:tRNA from 1 species
GAUCGCGUAGCUCAGUUGGUAGAGCACUACCUUGACAUGGUAGUGGUCACAGGUUCGAGUCCUGUCGCGGUCACCA